GAAGCUCCAUUCAAAGUUUUCCAUCAACUUCACUUAAUAUGCCCCAGACACCUGAGGCUCAAGAGGUUUAAAGCCAAACUCCAGAUUUUAACCACCCAAUAUCUUAUCUUCCUGUAUUGCUUAUUCUAGCAAAUGCCUCUGUUAGGAAUUUCCGAGCCUUAGUUGUUCAAUCGACAAAACAGAAGAAACAAUGCCAGCUCUGUCUCCCUCAGAGUUGACAGAAUCAAAUAGAAUGUUCAGAAACAGACACAUUUUGAAAAGAUAAAAUGUGAGGCAGAUCGUCAAAGCUGCAGACCUUGGCCUGCCUCUCUCUCACGACCCAUGUCAGUCACUAAGCAGUCACUAAGUCAGGCUCUCUAAGCAAGGGUUCCAUCCCGCACAAAAUGAGGAUGCAGUGACACUAAGUGAACUGUAAUGGCUGGCACCUGUAAGUGACAAACCCCUGCAACCCCACAUGAAGAGCCUCAAGAAUGUCCCUCAGAUGCAACACACAGCCAUUUUCAUAGAACCCCGGAAACACCAAAACUGCACUGUUAGUAUGGAACAAGGGGUUGACAGUGAUCACAGGAAUUUUAAGCUAGAUGGGAAAGGGGAGAAGCUGCCUAGUAGGCUUGCCAAAGAGCUAUUUGGAGCAAGCAGUGAUGUGGUUGUAGCACAAAGACCUUAGAAAUAAUCAGCUAUAUCCCUCAUUUCCCAGAGGAACCAUUCAACUGAGAGACGGUAUAGUUGUCAACCUUCAUGGUGGUCUUUUGAAAUUCCUGCCCUUGUGUUGUCCCUCUCCCAGACUGACUAGGGUUUGUGACUGCUGAGCCUAGAUCAUAAAGCACAUUGUGACUUCUACCUUGGAUCAGGCACUUUGCAGAAAGCCAGCUGCCAUGUUCUUAAGGACACUCAAGUGGUCCUAUGGAGAGGUCCGCACAGUAAAGAAUGGCAGCUUCCUGCCAACAGCCACCAAGGAACUGCGGUCUCCCACCAAUAGCCAUGUGGAUGAACCAUCUCAGGAGUGGACACCCUGGCCCCCAUAAAGCCUUCAGAUGAUGCAGCCCCAGCCAGUGUGUUGAGAGACGAUGAGUCAGAACCUCUCAGCUAUACCACUCCUACAUUCCUGCCCUGCAAAAACAUCCAGCUGCUGGAAUCACAUUGUAUGGAUAUCUGCAUUGUGAGCCAUUUUCCAGGGCCUGCUCUGUUUUGCAAGAAUUCCCUGUUGAAUGUUCUAGGAGGCAGCAUCACAGGUGGAUGAGGAAGUUACCUCAACUUUAGCAUGACCUGCUAAGCUAGACGGAGUACCCCCAGCCACCAUUCAACAAGCCUCCACUGAGUGCCUGCCAUAUGACAAGUGUCAAAAAAGCCACAUCUACAGGAUGCAUUUCCUAGAGGCACAGUUCAAUAGAGAGCCAGGGGGUGAAAAAAAAAAGAGAAAAGAAAAAUAAGAAAGCUAUAACAUUUGAGCUUGAAAUGUCAGAGGGAGCCAAGGAAGUUGUCUGAUGGAUUGCCCUGUCAUCUCCAAGCCAAAAGAAAAAAAAUUUCAGAUCCAUCAAUUUGCUCCUGCCCUUUUAAUCCAAACAAUAUUUUACAGCAUCAGAAUGCAAAGAAAUUAUUUUCUUGGACAUUCAACAAUGUGCAUGGAUUGCUGAGCACUUCACCAGAAAGCAGCAAGUGAGGACUACAGGGUGUUCUAAUGUCUGCACAUCGUAUUGAUCCAUAUUACAUGUAAAAAUAUGUUAUAACAUA